rnacentral:rRNA from 1 species
GAUGAACGCUGGCGGCGUGCCUAAUACAUGCAAGUCGAGCGAACAGACGAGAAGCUUGCUUCUCUGAUGUUAGCGGCGGACGGGUGAGUAACACGUGGAUAACCUACCUAUAAGACUGGGAUAACUUCGGGAAACCGGAGCUAAUACCGGAUAAUAUUUUGAACCGCAUGGUUCAAAAGUGAAAGACGGUCUUGCUGUCACUUAUAGAUGGAUCCGCGCUGCAUUAGCUAGUUGGUAAGGUAACGGCUUACCAAGGCAACGAUGCAUAGCCGACCUGAGAGGGUGAUCGGCCACACUGGAACUGAGACACGGUCCAGACUCCUACGGGAGGCAGCAGUAGGGAAUCUUCCGCAAUGGGCGAAAGCCUGACGGAGCAACGCCGCGUGAGUGAUGAAGGUCUUCGGAUCGUAAAACUCUGUUAUUAGGGAAGAACAGAUGUGUAAGUAACUGUGCACAUCUUGACGGUACCUAAUCAGAAAGCCACGGCUAACUACGUG